rnacentral:lncRNA from 1 species
GGAGAGUGAUGAGGGCACCAUGCGUGAACAGCAAAUUAAGAGCCAAUUGAAGAUGCAUGGACAGCAAGAUUCAACAAAUGGGAAAGUGCAUGGAUGUCUAGCUACAUUAAUUUAUGCAAUGAGUCUUUGGCCUCCAAGGUGAUUGUUCGGCCAAGAGACACUUAUUGGCUAGUACAUUCAUGCUAUAGCCGAACCUAGACAAGGCUGAUGGGCUGCCAUUCAUUCAUCUACAUUCAAGAGCUAUGUUUGCUUAAUCAAGAAGGUGUCCAUUGAUGUUCCAUUCAGCCGAAUAUGGACAUGCCUUUAAAGUUCAUCUCUCUAGUUUAAUUUAACUCAUUAAUAGCCACAUCACUUAGUCAUUAAGCUAUGUCCAUUA